rnacentral:rRNA from 1 species
AACCCUGACGCAGCAACGCCGCGUGAGUGAUGAAGGUUUUCGGAUCGUAAAACUCUGUCUUUAGGGACGAUAAUGACGGUACCUAAGGAGGAAGCCACGGCUAACUACGUGCCAGCAGCCGCGGUAAUACGUAGGUGGCAAGCGUUGUCCGGAUUUACUGGGCGUAAAGAGUAUGUAGGUGGGUGCUUAAGUCAGAUGUGAAAUUCCCGGGCUCAACCUGGGAGCUGCAUUUGAAACUGGGCAUCUAGAGUGCAGGAGAGGAAAGUGGAAUUCCUAGUGUAGCGGUGAAAUGCGUAGAGAUUAGGAAGAACACCAGUGGCGAAGGCGACUUUCUGGACUGUAACUGACACUGAGAUACGAAAGCGUGGGUAGCAAACAGGAUUAGAUACCCUGGUAGUCCACGCCGUAAACGAUGAAUACUAGGUGUCGGGGGGUACCACCCUCGGUGCCGCAGCAAACGCAUUAAGUAUUCCGCCUGGGGAGUACGGUCGCAAGAUUAAAACUCAAAGGAAUUGACGGGGACCCGCACAAGCAGCGGAGCAUGUGGUUUAAUUCGAAGCAACGCGAAGAACCUUACCUAGACUUGACAUCUCCUGAAUUACUCUUAAUCGAGGAAGUCCCUUCGGGGACAGGAAGACAGGUGGUGCAUGGUUGUCGUCAGCUCGUGUCGUGAGAUGUUGGGUUAAGUCCCGCAACGAGCGCAACCCUUAUUGUUAGUUGCUACUAUUAAGUUAAGCACUCUAACGAGACUGCCGCGGUUAACGUGGAGGAAGGUGGGGAUGACGUCAAAUCAUCAUGCCCCUUAUGUCUAGGGCUACACACGUGCUACAAUGGCUGGUACAACGAGCAGCAAACCCGCGAGGGGGAGCAAAACUUGAAAGCCAGUCCCAGUUCGGAUUGUAGGCUGAAACUCGCCUACAUGAAGUUGGAGUUGCUAGUAAUCGCGAAUCAGCAUGUCGCGGUGAAUACGUUCCCGGGUCUUGUACACACCGCCCGUCACACCAUGAGAGCCGGUAACACCCGAAGCCCGUGAGGUAACCGUAAGGAGCCAGCGGUCGAAGGUGGGAUUGGUGAUUGGGGUGAAGUCGUAACAAGGUAGCCGUAGGAGAACCUGCGGCUGGAUCACCUCCUUUCUA